AUUGUUUGGGAAGAAUUCUGGUAGAAAGGUGACUGGGAAAAGAGGAACACAUUCUACUUUUACUGACUUGAAAAGAAGACUUAAUACUGUCAAGUCUUUUCCAGUUCAAUUUUAUCUUGUGAACAAGUAUAUGGAGAAGACACCAAAAGCUUUAGAUGAGUUAACUCUCCUUCAGGCUGGGAUGGGUCGAAGAACCAUCAAUAUCACAGAUGAUGCUGACCAUUUAUGGUUGUCUAAAAAACUUGAGGAAACCUAUUCCAAAAUGGCUGAUUUAAAGGGGGCAUGGAUGUUAUACAAGGCUGUCGGAGGAUCUGGACAACGAAAAUUGUGUGUAGUUCCCCCUGAGGCAGAAGGCUAUUCAGGUGCUUACCUAAAUACAGUGGCACGUGGAAAGUCAACACUUUUCAUAGUACCACUCCAAGGUACCCUUGAUACUUCACCUCUCCCCUACUCUGCGAAGGAGUUUGAAAAAAUGCCAAAAGCAUCAUGUCAUACCUGCUCUGAAAGCAUGCCAGUCCAGUUAUUGGCUGCACAUGUAGCAUCUUGUAAGACAGUAGAACUUCUUACUGACUCUGAU